rnacentral:rRNA from 1 species
GACGAACGCUGGCGGCGUGCCUAAUACAUGCAAGUCGAGCGGACUUUCAAGAAGCUUGCUUUUUGAAAGUUAGCGGCGGACGGGUGAGUAACACGUGGGCAACCUGCCUGCAAGACGGGGAUAACUCCGGGAAACCGGGGCUAAUACCGGAUAAUAUCUUCCUUCGCAUGAAGGAAGGUUGAAAGGCGGCGCAAGCUGCCGCUUGCAGAUGGGCCCGCGGCGCAUUAGCUAGUUGGUGAGGUAACGGCUCACCAAGGCGACGAUGCGUAGCCGACCUGAGAGGGUGAUCGGCCACACUGGGACUGAGACACGGCCCAGACUCCUACGGGAGGCAGCAGUAGGGAAUCUUCCGCAAUGGACGAAAGUCUGACGGAGCAACGCCGCGUGAGCUAAGAAGGUCUUCGGAUCGUAAAGCUCUGUUGUCAGGGAAGAACAAGUACCGUUCGAACAGGGCGGUACCUUGACGGUACCUGACCAGAAAGCCACGGCUAACUACGUG